UAAGUCAGUCAACUUCCUGCCUAUGGCUGAUAUAAUGGUCUUUGCAUAAGCCGUCAGGGCCUUAACUCACACUCAAUUAAAUCAACUUAUUUUUGGUCAAAUAAUUUUACAUAAUACGAAAAACGAACGCUGAAGCUCAUUAAUUUAACUUAAGAGUUCAAGGCGGUGGCGGCAGCAGCAGCAGCAGGAGCAGAAGCAGAAUCUGCGGGCAGUAGCCGAAGUGAGUGGGUGGGGGAAAAAGUCGAGGGUAAGGCCAGGUAAGGGAUACGCACAACAGCGAGAAGUACACAAAAAGUAGCACAAAAGCGGAUUUUCAUUCAAGUUACGCCCAGUUUGUGCCACCCACGAAAGGGGGCGGGGCACAACGGAGUUGGCAUAAUGAUUCUACCGAAAAUUUUCCCUUGGCCUGCAAUGGGAAGGCGCUUGGCUGGCUGGCUGACUGGCUGGCAGUUUGGCCCAAAGGAAAAACAACAAUCCCGGCCUGCUGGCAAACGACGUCGAUGUCGAACCAAAUGAAAAUGUCGAGACAGGGCUCAAGUUGGAGGAACAUCAUUAGAAGCAGCUGAACGCCAGGCGCGGCAGCUGCGGGACGGGCUGAGUGCCAUGACCAUGCUAAUUGUAUGGCAACUGGGAAUUGCGAGAGAUAAAGACAGAUGAAGAGGGAGUGGGAGUGGCUCCAACCAACCUACCGCCCGCCCACCUGACUGACUGACUGCGUGUUUGUCUACCCCUAACACAACUCAGCUGCCAAUUCAAUUUUGUAAUCAGAGUGGCAUGAAAAAUUAAAUAAAACAUGCAAAUAAAAUUA